rnacentral:rRNA from 1 species
UACAGAGGGUGCGAGCGUUAAUCGGAAUUACUGGGCGUAAAGCGCACGUAGUCGGCUUUGCAAGUCGGGGUGUGAAAUCCCCGGGCUCAACCUGGGAACUGCAUCCGAGACUGCAUUGCUAGAGUAUGGGAGAGGGAAGCGGAAUUUCUGGUGUAGCAGUGAAAUGCGUAGAUAUCUGGAGGAACAUCAGUGGCGAAGGCGACACCCUGGACUCAUACUGACACUGAGGUGCGAAAGCGUGGGGAGCAAACAGG